rnacentral:sRNA from 1 species
UUUUUUAGUUAGAAAGUAGAUAAAUGUAUAUCUUGGAUAAUCUAGAUCAAACGGUUUUCAGUUUGAGAUCCUACUCUACUACAAGUUGCGUAUACAUGUAGAUCUAGAUCUUUUUUGAAUACUAAAGGACCUUGAUAAAAGAAACAACACAAUGAUGUCUUUGCUUUGUAAGAAUAUCAGCCAAACGUCACAGUCUGAAAAUCGUUGUCCUACGCUAUACAGUAAAUAGGAGAGGUAUAAACUAAGCGGCUGUAUUGUUCUUUCUGCGCUUUUGUUUUCCUUCAUUUUCUUUGGGACAGAUCUCUACCUCUAUGCAAACAGAAGGUAAAACCAAGAGACA